rnacentral:rRNA from 1 species
ACGAACGCUGGCGGCACGCUUAACACAUGCAAGUCGAACGAGAGAAGAGAAGCUUGCUUUUCUGAUCUAGUGGCGGACGGGUGAGUAACACGUGAGCAAUCUGCCUUUCAGAGGGGGAUACCGAUUGGAAACGAUCGUUAAUACCGCAUAACAUAAUUGAACCGCAUGAUUUGAUUAUCAAAGAUUUAUCGCUGAAAGAUGAGCUCGCGUCUGAUUAGCUAGUUGGUAAGGUAACGGCUUACCAAGGCGACGAUCAGUAGCCGGACUGAGAGGUUGAUCGGCCACAUUGGGACUGAGACACGGCCCAGACUCCUACGGGAGGCAGCAGUGGGGAAUAUUGCACAAUGGAGGAAACUCUGAUGCUGCGAUGCCGCGUGAGGGAAGAAGGUUUUAGGAUUGUAAACCUCUGUCUUCAGGGACGAAAAAAGACGGUACCUGAGGAGGAAGCUCCGGCUAACUACGUGCCAGCAGCCGCGGUAAUACGUAGGGAGCGAGCGUUGUCCGGAAUUACUGGGUGUAAAGGGAGCGUAGGCGGGAUCGCAAGUCAGAUGUGAAAACUAUGGGCUUAACCCAUAAACUGCAUUUGAAACUGUGGUUCUUGAGUGAAGUAGAGGUAAGCGGAAUUCCUAGUGUAGCGGUGAAAUGCGUAGAUAUUAGGAGGAACAUCAGUGGCGAAGGCGGCUUACUGGGCUUUAACUGACGCUGAGGCUCGAAAGCGUGGGGAGCAAACAGGAUUAGAUACCCUGGUAGUCCACGCCGUAAACGAUGAUUACUAGGUGUGGGGGGACUGACCCCUUCCGUGCCGCAGCAAACGCAAUAAGUAAUCCACCUGGGGAGUACGACCGCAAGGUUGAAACUCAAAGGAAUUGACGGGGGCCCGCACAAGCAGUGGAGUAUGUGGAUUAAUUCGAAGCAACGCGAAGAACCUUACCAGGUCUUGACAUCGUAUGCAUAGCUCAGAGAUGAGUGAAAUCUCUUCGGAGACAUAUAGACAGGUGGUGCAUGGUUGUCGUCAGCUCGUGUCGUGAGAUGUUGGGUUAAGUCCCGCAACGAGCGCAACCCUUACUGUUAGUUGCUACGCAAGAGCACUCUAGCAGGACUGCCGUUGACAAAACGGAGGAAGGUGGGGAUGACGUCAAAUCAUCAUGCCCCUUAUGACCUGGGCCUCACACGUACUACAAUGGCUGUCAACAGAGGGAUGCAAAGCCGCGAGGUGGAGCGAACCCCUAAAAGCAGUCUUAGUUCGGAUUGUAGGCUGCAACCCGCCUACAUGAAGUCGGAAUUGCUAGUAAUCGCAGAUCAGCAUGCUGCGGUGAAUACGUUCCCGGGCCUUGUACACACCGCCCGUCACGCCAUGGGAGUCGGUAACACCCGAAGCCUGUAGUCUAACCGCAAGGAGGACGCAGUCGAAGGUGGGAUUGAUGACUGGGGUG